rnacentral:rRNA from 1 species
AGUCGAGGGGCAGCAUAUAGAUUGCUUGCAAUUUAUGAUGGCGACCGGCGCACGGGUGAGUAACGCGUAUCCAACCUACCCAUUACUAGGGAAUAACCCAGCGAAAGUUGGCCUAAUGCCCUAUGUAGUCGUUUGAUCGCCUGAGAUUUCGACGAAAGAUUUAUCGGUAUUGGAUGGGGAUGCGUCUGAUUAGCUUGUUGGCGGGGUAAAGGCCCACCAAGGCAACGAUCAGUAGGGGUUCUGAGAGGAAGGUCCCCCACAUUGGAACUGAGACACGGUCCAAACUCCUACGGGAGGCAGCAGUGAGGAAUAUUGGUCAAUGGGCGAGAGCCUGAACCAGCCAAGUAGCGUGCAGGAUGACGGCCCUAUGGGUUGUAAACUGCUUUUAUAUGGGAAUAAAGUGAGGGACGUGUCCCUUAUUGCAUGUACCAUACGAAUAAGGACCGGCUAAUUCCGUGCCAGCAGCCGCGGUAAUACGGAAGGUCCAGGCGUUAUCCGGAUUUAUUGGGUUUAAAGGGAGCGUAGGCUGUUUGUUAAGCGUGUUGUGAAAUGUAGGAGCUCAACUUUUAGAUUGCAGCGCGAACUGGCAGACUUGAGUGCGCACAACGUAGGCGGAAUUCAUGGUGUAGCGGUGAAAUGCUUAGAUAUCAUGACGAACUCCGAUUGCGAAGGCAGCUUACGGNNNNGCAACUGACG